rnacentral:rRNA from 1 species
GAUGAACGCUGGCGGUCUGCUUAACACAUGCAAGUCGAACGGUUGUAGAAAUACGAUAGUGGCGGACGGGUGAGUAACGCGUGAGAAUCUACCAUUAGGUCGGGGACAACCAUUGGAAACGAUGGCUAAUACCGGAUAAGCCGGAAGGUAAAAGAUUAAUUGCCUAAUGAAGAGCUCGCGUCUGAUUAGCUAGUUGGUGAGGUAAAGGCUCACCAAGGCAUCGAUCAGUAGCUGGUCUGAGAGGAUGACCAGCCACACUGGGACUGAGACACGGCCCAGACUCCUACGGGAGGCAGCAGUGGGGAAUUUUCCGCAAUGGGCGAAAGCCUGACGGAGCAAGACCGCGUGAGGGAGGAAGGCUCUUGGGUUGUAAACCUCUUUUCUUGGGGAAGAACAAAAUGACGGUACCCAAGGAAUCAGCAUCGGCUAACUCCGUGCCAGCAGCCGCGGUAAUACGGAGGAUGCAAGCGUUAUCCGGAAUUAUUGGGCGUAAAGCGUCCGCAGGUGGCACUUCAAGUCUGCUGUCAAAGACCGGGGCUUAACCCUGGAAAGGCAGUGGAAACUGAAGAGCUAGAGUGUCGUAGGGGUAGAGGGAAUUCCUGGUGUAGCGGCGAAAUGCGUAGAGAUCAGGAAGACAUCGGUGGCGAAAGCGCUCUACUGGACGACAACCGACACUCAGGGACGAAAGCUAGGGGAGCGAAUGGAUUAGAUACCCCAGUAGUCCUAGCCGUAAACGAUGGAUACUAGGUGUGGCUUG